UUGCUUUGGCAGCACAUAGACUAAAAUUGGAAAGAUGCAGAGAUUAGCAUGGCCCCUGUGCAAGGAUUACACAUAAAUUUGUGAAGUGUUCCAUAUUUUU
rnacentral:snRNA from 1 species